rnacentral:misc_RNA from 1 species
UUGACAGACAAGAGCAAGCUUGAUGCUCACCCUGAGUUCUUCAUCCAUAUUAUUCCUGACAAAACUAACAACACAUUGUCCAUCAUUGACAGUGGUAUUGGGAUGACCAAGGCUGAUUUGGUGAACAAUCUUGGUACAAUUGCAAGGUCUGGUACCAAAGAAUUUGUGGAGGCCUUGGCUGCUGGGGAAGAUGUUAGUAUGAUUGGGCAGUUUGGUG